GGUCAGAUUAUGGCUCAGAUUGAACGCUGGCGGGAUGCUUGCCACAUGCAAGUCGAACGGCAGCACGGACUUCGGUCUGGUGGCGAGUGGCGAAUCUGGUGAGUAGUCGUAUCGGAACGUGCCUAGUAGCGGGGGAUAACUACGCGAAAGUUGCGCUAAUACCGCAUACGCCCUUCGGGGAAAGCGGGGGACCUUCGGGCCUCGCACUAUUAGAGCGGCCGAUAUCGGUCGAUUAGCCAGUUGGUGGGGUAACGGCUCAACGGCGACGAUCCGUAGCUGGUUUGAGAGGACGACCAGCCACACUGGGACUGGCACGGCCCAGACUCCUACGGAGGCAGCAGCAGUGGGGAAUUUUGGACAAUGGGGGAAACUCUGAUCCAGCCAUCCCGCGUGUGCGAUGAAGGCCUCGGGUUGUAAAGCACUCUUUUGGCAGGAAGAAACGGCACGGAUAAUACUCCCGUGCAACUGACGGUACCUGCAGAAUAAGCACCGGCUAACCACGGUGCCAGCAGCCGCAGUAAUAUUGUAGUGCGUUAAUCGGAAUUACUGGGCGUAAAGCGUGUGCAGGCGGUUCGGAAAGAAAGAUGUGAAAUCCCAGAGCUUAACUUUGGAACUGCAUUUUUAACUACCGAGCUAGAGUGUGUCAGAGGGAGGUGGAAUUCCGGUAGCAGUGAAAAUGCGUAGAUAUGCGGAGGAACACCGAUGGCGAAGGCAGCCUCCGGGAUAACACUGACGCUCAUGCACGAAAGCGUGGGGAGCGCCGUGAUUGAUACUCCUGGUAGUCCACGCCCUAAACGAUGUCACACCAAUGUUGGGCCUUGGCUCGGUAGCGCAGCGAUCAGAAGUUGACCGUCGGGGAGUAUUGCUCGUGAAGAUUAAAACUCAAAGGAAUUGAUUGGGACCCGCACAAGCGGUGGAUGAUGUGGAUUAUUCGAUGCAACGCGAAACCUUACCUACCCUUGACAUGUCUGGAAUCCCGAAGAGAUUUUGGGAGCGUCAAAGAGAACCGAACACAGGUGCUGCAUGGCUGUUGCCAGCUCGGGCCGAGAUGCUGCCAAGUCCUGCAACGAGCGCAACCUCGGUCAUAUUAGCAUGAAAGGCACUUAAUGACUGCUGGCAUACAAACCGGAGGAAGGUGGGGAUGACGUCAAGUCCUCAUGGCCUUAUGGGUAGGGUCGCUACACGUCAUACAAUGGUCGGGACAGAGGGUCGCCAACCCGCGAGGGGGAGCCAAUCCCAGAAACCCGAUCGUAGUCCGGAUCGCAGUCUGCAACUCGACUGCGUGAAGUCGAAUCGCUAGUAAUCGCCGGAUCAGCUGUCGCGGUGAAUACGUUCCCGGCAUCUGUACACACCGCCCGUCAGCUAUGGGAGUGGGUUUUACCAGAAGUAGUUAGCCUAACCGUAAGGAGGGCGAUUACCACGGUAGAUUCAUGACUGGGGCAGUCGUAACAUGUGAAC
rnacentral:rRNA from 1 species